CCCUUAGAUGUUCUGGGCCGCACGCGCGCUACACUGACGAAGUCAGCGAGCAUCUCCUACGCCGAAAGGUGCGGGGAAUCUUGUGAAACUUUGUCGUGCUGGGGAUUGAUUUUUGAAAUUCUUGAUCAUAAACGAGGAAUUCCUAGUAAGCGCAAGUCAGCAGCUUGCGUUGAUUACGUCCCUGCCCUUUGUACACACCGCCCGUCGCUCCUACCAAUUUCGAGCGGCUCGGUGAACCUUUCUUCUCUCGACUGCAUGGCAACAUGCGACGCACGAAGAAUUGUAAACCUGGUCGCUUAGAGGAAGGAGAAGUCGUAACA
rnacentral:rRNA from 1 species